rnacentral:rRNA from 1 species
AGUGGAUGGGGAACAACCUAGUUGUGCGUGUGUAAAGGUAGUGCCAAGAAAAGCGGUGAUCAUGAUGAAAAUCAAUUCCCGGUACCCGAAACCGACACAGGUGGGCAAGUAGAGAAUACUAAGGGGCGCGAGGUAACUCUCUCCAAGGAACUCGGCAAAAUGACCCCGUAACUUAGGGAGAAGGGGUGCCACCGAGAGGUGGUCGCAGUGAAGAGGCCCAGGCGACUGUUUAGCAAAAACAUAGGUCUCUGCAAACUCGAAAGAGGAGGUAUAGGGGCUGACGCCUGCCCAGUGCCGGAAGGUUAAAGAAGUUGGUCAGUCUUAGGAUGAAGCUAGCGACUGAAGCCCCGGUGAACGGCGGCCGUAACUAUAACGGUCCUAAGGUAGCGAAAUUCCUUGUCGGGUAAGUUCCGACCCGCACGAAAGGCGUAACGAUCUGGGCGCUGUCUCGGAGAGAGGCUCGGCGAAAUAGGAUUGUCUGUGAAGAUACGGACUACCUGCAUUUGGACAGAAAGACCCUAUGAAGCUUUACUAUAGCUUGGAAUUGUGUUCGGGCUUCCUGUGCGCAGGAUAGGUGGGAGGCGUAGAAGGUAUUCUUGUGGGGAUACUGGAGCCAACGGUGAGAUACCACUCUCAGGAGGCUAGAAUUCUAACUUAAUUAAGGACAGUUUCAGGUGGGUAGUUUGACUGGGGCGGUCGCCUCCAAAAAGGUAACGGAGGCGUACAAAGGUUCCCUCAGACUGGUUGGAAAUCAGUCGCAGAGUGCAAAGGCAGAAGGGAGCUUGACUGCGAGAAGUACAGUUCGAGCAGGGUGGAAACACGGUCUUAGUGAUCCGACGGUGCUGUGUGGAAGGGCCGUCGCUCAACGGAUAAAAGUUACUCUAGGAUAACAGGCUGAUCUCCCCCAAGAGUUCACAUCGACGGGGAGGUUUGGCACCUCGAUGUCGGCUCAUCGCAACCUGGGGCGGAAGUACGUCCCAAGGGUUGGGCUGUUCGCCCAUUAAAGCGGUACGUGAGCUGGGUUCAGAACGUCGUGAGACAGUUCGGUCCAUAUCCGAUGUAGGCGUGAGAAUAUUGAGAGGAGCCUUCCUUAGUACGAGAGGACCGGGAAGGACGCACCGCUGGUGUACCUGUUAUGAUGCCAAUUGUAAACGCAGGGUAGCCAAGUGCGGAGAGGAUAACCGCUGAGAGCAUCUAAGUGGGAAGCCCACCUCAAGAUGAGUAUUCUGGUGUAAGGUCACGGGAAGACGACCCGUAAAUAGGCACGAGGUGGAAGUGCAGAGAUGUAUGAAGCCGAAGUGUACUAAUAGACCGUCGGCUU